rnacentral:rRNA from 1 species
GAUGAACGCUGGCGGCGUGCCUAAUACAUGCAAGUCGAGCGAACGGACGAGAAGCUUGCUUUUCUGAUGUUAGCGGCGGACGGGUGAGUAACACGUGGAUAACCUACCUAUAAGACUGGGAUAACUUCGGGAAACCGGAGCUAAUACCGGAUAAUAUUUUGAACCGCAUGGUUCAAAAGUGAAAGACGGUCUUGCUGUCACUUAUAGAUGGAUCCGCGCUGCAUUAGCUAGUUGGUAAGGUAACGGCUUACCAAGGCAACGAUGCAUAGCCGACCUGAGAGGGUGAUCGGCCACACUGGAACUGAGACACGGUCCAGACUCCUACGGGAGGCAGCAGUAGGGAAUCUUCCGCAAUGGGCGAAAGCCUGACGGAGCAACGCCGCGUGAGUGAUGAAGGUCUUCGGAUCGUAAAACUCUGUUAUUAGGGAAGAACAUAUGUGUAAGUAACUGUGCACAUCUUGACGGUACCUAAUCAGAAAGCCACGGCUAACUACGUGCCAGCAGCCGCGGUAAUACGUAGGUGGCAAGCGUUAUCCGGAAUUAUUGGGCGUAAAGCGCGCGUAGGCGGUUUUUUAAGUCUGAUGUGAAAGCCCACGGCUCAACCGUGGAGGGUCAUUGGAAACUGGAAAACUUGAGUGCAGAAGAGGAAAGUGGAAUUCCAUGUGUAGCGGUGAAAUGCGCAGAGAUAUGGAGGAACACCAGUGGCGAAGGCGACUUUCUGGUCUGUAACUGACGCUGAUGUGCGAAAGCGUGGGGAUCAAACAGGAUUAGAUACCCUGGUAGUCCACGCCGUAAACGAUGAGUGCUAAGUGUUAGGGGGUUUCCGCCCCUUAGUGCUGCAGCUAACGCAUUAAGCACUCCGCCUGGGGAGUACGACCGCAAGGUUGAAACUCAAAGGAAUUGACGGGGACCCGCACAAGCGGUGGAGCAUGUGGUUUAAUUCGAAGCAACGCGAAGAACCUUACCAAAUCUUGACAUCCUUUGACAACUCUAGAGAUAGAGCCUUCCCCUUCGGGGGACAAAGUGACAGGUGGUGCAUGGUUGUCGUCAGCUCGUGUCGUGAGAUGUUGGGCUAAGUCCCGCAACGAGCGCAACCCUUAAGCUUAGUUGCCAUCAUUAAGUUGGGCACUCUAAGUUGACUGCCGGUGACAAACCGGAGGAAGGUGGGGAUGACGUCAAAUCAUCAUGCCCCUUAUGAUUUGGGCUACACACGUGCUACAAUGGACAAUACAAAGGGCAGCGAAACCGCGAGGUCAAGCAAAUCCCAUAAAGUUGUUCUCAGUUCGGAUUGUAGUCUGCAACUCGACUACAUGAAGCUGGAAUCGCUAGUAAUCGUAGAUCAGCAUGCUACGGUGAAUACGUUCCCGGGUCU